AGCACUCUCUGAAGGAUCCACUACAACAGAAUCACCAAUAUGCUUCUUAAGCAUGGAAACAUGAAAAAUAGGAUGAAUAACUGGCAACUCUAUGGGAAACUCAACCUCAUAGGCUACUUUUCCAACACUGCUCAAAACUCUAUAAGGGCCAACGUAAUAGGGACUAAGCUUCCCUUUUUUUAGAAACCUUUUCACCCCUUUCAUUGGUGAAAUCAUUAAGUACACCAAAUCAC
rnacentral:lncRNA from 1 species